rnacentral:rRNA from 1 species
GCAAGUCGAGCGGUAGCACAGAGAAGCUUGCUUCUUGGGUGACGAGCGGCGGACGGGUGAGUAACGCGUGGGAAUCUACCUGGUAGUGGGGGACAACAGUCGGAAACGACUGCUAAUACCGCAUACGCCCUUUGGGGGAAAGUGGGGGAUCUUCGGACCUCACGCUAUCAGAUGAGCCCGCGUCGGAUUAGCUUGUUGGUGAGGUAAAGGCUCACCAAGGCGAUGAUCCGUAGCUGGUCUGAGAGGAUGACCAGCCACACUGGGACUGAGACACGGCCCAGACUCCUACGGGAGGCAGCAGUGGGGAAUAUUGGACAAUGGGGGCAACCCUGAUCCAGCCAUGCCGCGUGUGUGAAGAAGGCCUUCGGGUUGUAAAGCACUUUCAGCUGUGAGGAAAGGCGAGUGGUUAAUACCCGCUUGCUGUGACGUUAACAGCAGAGGAAGGACCGGCUAACUUCGUGCCAGCAGCCGCGGUAAUACGGAGGGUCCGAGCGUUAAUCGGAAUUACUGGGCGUAAAGCGCGCGUAGGUGGUUCAGUCAGUCAGAUGUGAAAGCCCCGGGCUCAACCUGGGAACUGCACCUGAUACUGCUGAGCUAGAGUACGGUAGAGGGUAGUGGAAUUUCCGGUGUAGCGGUGAAAUGCGUAGAGAUCGGAAGGAACACCAGUGGCGAAGGCGACUACCUGGACCGAUACUGACACUGAGGUGCGAAAGUGUGGGGAGCAAACAGGAUUAGAUACCCUGGUAGUCCACACCGUAAACGAUGAAUGCCAGUCGUCGGCAAGUAUGCUUGUCGGUGACACACCCAACGGAUUAAGCAUUCCGCCUGGGGAGUACGGCCGCAAGGUUACAACUCAAAUGAAUUGACGGAA